GCUCAAAUAGGCGUGGCCAUCAGCUGAAGGUAAUCCGGCGAUUCUCUGCGCGGAACUCAGGGGGUGCGGGGUUCUUGGUCCUGCCGCCGGAGCCAUCGCGCUCGCCGAGACGCGCUCUGUGCGCACCCUCGGCCGGUCCCGGGGCGCCACCAUGUCUCCGCUGCCCGCACCUCUCCGGGAGCGACGCCCCUGCCGCCGCCCGCCGGCCGUGCCGCGCUCGCGCAGGCGUCCGCCAUCGCCCUCCCGCGGAAACCGUGCAGAACUAGUACUUUCUCCAUUUUUCCCCGGCCGGAAACCCGCAUGGCUGGCCUUGGCAUCACCUUCCGGAUCGCGGUCUGCCUUUACCCUAAAUGAAUGCUUUUUGCUGCGUGGACACUGACUUUUUUACUACGUCCGGCAUAUUUGCGGCUCAUCACAGAGAAGACCCCCAGGGCUCCGGGGCUGGUGAGCAAACAGGUGUGACGCCCACGGAGCUAUCCCAGUUUCCUGUUUUUCUCCAUGGCUCGGGAGCUAAAGGGUGGUUUUCUCCUGGACCUGAUCUUCUGCAGGGGAUCAGGGUGUUUCUUGGUGCCAGCCCAUUGGUGCCAGCAGUGGCCUUUCAGACUGUUUGGAACCAGAAGUCCCACGGAAGCCAUCAUUCAGAUACCAGGUGGGGAGGAGGGACUCCUCCAAGGUGUGACCUCUGCCUGACCCUGGAGCCGGAGCAGUCCGAAGGGACAUUGUUGGCUUUAAACUGCCCCAGAGGGAGUCAGCCAGCACCCCUCCGCUGCCUCGGGCUGCGCUGCUGGUGCAGGACCAGUCCGUCCGGGGGUGUGACCACUCUGUCCUGCCCUACCUAGUCAUCCAGCACCUGCGGAGUGGAUCCAGUGUCCACUGGCCUUGCUGCCACGCCACCCAGAGGGCCGCCGAGUGUGAGACUUUCCCUUAGUAAGUUUUUCUGGUUCUCGGACACCGUGGCAGCCUCUGUGGGCGUCUCAGCACCUUGGCCUUUCCCUGGUGCUGAGUCCGAGCUCACAGAACCCAGGCUCCCUCCGGAGCUGCCACUCUCCCCAGAACCAGCUGUUCCGCCGACCUUCUGUGACCUGGCUAUCCUAAAGCGACAGGUUCCCUGACAUGGGCCAGCAUGGAGCCUGUUGGGUGCUUGAGCUGUUUUAGAUGGUCUGUGCCCUCACUGUGGAGAAAAUCUAGAAAAUGGGGUCUUGCCCUGGCUGGCGUAGCUCAGUGGAUUGAGCGCGGGCCUGCGAACCAGAGUAUCGCGGUUCGAUUCCCAGUCAGGGCACAUGCCUGGGUUGCAGGCCAGUUCCCCACAGAGUAUGCAUGAGAGGCAACCAUACAUUGAUAUUUCUCUCCCAUUCUUUCUCCUUCCCUUCCCCUCUCUCGAAAAUAAAUAAAUAAAAUAAAAUAAAAAGAAAAUGGGGUCUCAGUUGUUUGAACAUUUUCAGGGCACACCUCCUACGGGGACCCUGGCUGAACGUGUGGUUAAAAACCUCAGUGCCGCUUCCACCGGUGUGGCUCAGUGGGUCGAGUGCCCUCCUGCUUCAACUCCUGGUCAGGGCACAUCUCACGCCUGGGUGGUGGGCCAGGUCGCUGGGUGGGUGUGUGCCAUAGGCAACCAGCUGAUGUUUUUCUCCCUCUUCCUCCCUCCCUUCCCCUCUCUUUAAAAAUAAAUAAAAUCUCAAAACAAACUAA